GACGUAGGGCGCGAGCGUUGUCCGGAUUUAUUGGGCGUAAAGAGCUCGUAGGCGGCUUGUCGCGUCGUCCGUGAAAACCCACAGCUCAACUGUGGGCUUGCGGUCGAUACGGGCAGGCUCGAGUUCGGUAGGGGAGACUGGAAUUCCUGGUGUAGCGGUGAAAUGCGCAGAUAUCAGGAGGAACACCGGUGGCGAAGGCGGGUCUCUGGGCCGAUACUGACGCUGAGGAGCGAAAGCGUGGGGAGCGAACAGG
rnacentral:rRNA from 1 species